rnacentral:lncRNA from 1 species
UUAAUACCAAAUUAGGCAAAUUUUUAGAUUCACAUUUUCAUAACACAAAAACAAAAAAAAAUAAUUUUAAUUCUACUUUCCUUUUAAAGCAGAAUUAAUCUAUAUGUGUGUUGUGCUCCCAACCAUGCAGAGCUCAUCAGUGGAUGAGAUUUCCUCUGACUACCAUUAUUUCGAUAUAUAUUAAGAGCUCCUUAUGAACAGCAAAUGAUCCAAGCAAUAUUUUGCAUAAGUAAGAAUGAGAAAGCACUCUCCCAAAUGUCUUCUAACAAAAUAAAUUACUGGAUAAAACUUAGUAAAUGCCAAGGGGCUGAUGUUUUCCUUUUUGUUUGUCUUUUUGUUUACAUUUCUAUUUUGGUCUAUGUCCCCAAUGCAAGAAAGUUCUUCAAAAGAUGUAUUUCUGAAGAGUUGUCAACAUAUUAAUAGAGGUGGCACUUCUCAAAUCAAGUGGGAAUCGGUUCUAUAUUUCAAGUGUAGAACAGGAAAAGGCUUGAAUUCCUUAAGGGCUCCAGACAACUGUUUAUUAAACUUUCACAGGCUACUUCACAAAACAGAAACAGAGGGCAGAUAUAAAGAAGUCUUGAAGAGAAAAACACCGAUGGCCAAAUUCUCCCUCAUUCCACACAAACAUGUGCAUGUACAUGCAGGUACAUAUCCCUUCCAGCCAAGAUAAAAUGGCGAUGUCACAUACAUCAUUGACAAGUUCACUGAAUUCCACUGUCAGAAAUUUUACUUUGACAAAAAAUGUUUUGCAAAUUGUUUCUCAGGACUUGUGAAGUCAUAGUGCUGGCUGAUGAGGUCCUAAAUGUUAGAUUAUCAAAGGAAAGUGGCAUGGAAUGAGAAGAUAGAAUGGUUCUACACUUCUUCUGGAAACAAAGGAAAACCCCUCGAAGGACCUGGCAACGCAUUAAUAAAUAUCAUUUUACACAUAUUCA